ensembl:rRNA 5S_rRNA 5S ribosomal RNA
GAUUCUGGCCAUACCACAAUGUCAACGCCUGAUCUCGUCUGACCUCGGAAGCUAAGCAGAGUUGGUCUGGGUCAGUACUUGGAUGGGUGACCGCCAGGGAAUACCAGGUGCUGUAAGCA